UACGUAGGGUGCGAGCGUUUGUCCGGAAUUAUUGGGCGUAAAGAGCUUGUAGGUGGUUUGUCGCGUCUGCUGUGAAAAUCCGAGGCUCAACCUCGGACUUGCAGUGGGUACGGGCAGACUAGAGUGUGGUAGGGGAGACUGGAAUUCCUGGUGUAGCGGUGGAAUGCGCAGAUAUCAGGAGGAACACCGAUGGCAAAGGC
rnacentral:rRNA from 1 species